CUUUUCCGCCGAAGCCAAACACGGCAGUCAACCGAAGUUGUUAGCGGUUUCCAUUGCAGGAUCGGUGAUCGUGUCCGAUUGUUACUGCGUAUCCAGGCAAUGAUCCAAUCGGCCAGGUUGUUGCUGCUCAGAAUAGAGAAUCCCAAGCUACGAGUCCCGAGGGAUCAAUGGUUGCUCGUACUAGUACUUUGAGUGUGGGGGCCAAAUCAAUGCUAAAUCUCUAUUAUUAAAGAGGGAUCUGCAGUCCUCGUCGUGAUGGUUCAACCGCAUCCCACCCCCUCGAUCGCACGUGGUAAAAGUACCUCUGGAUCCCGCACGGCCGCACGCACCAGAAACCCGAAAAACCAGACCACGAGCCCACACAUCGUCGCUCAAAAAAAUUGAGAGAAUAAACUGCCCCGCACAUGCACGUCCCACCCCCACCUCUCCCCGAGCCAUUGCCCCCGAUCUCGUGUCUCUCCUGCCAAAUAUCGUCGCCGCCAGAGAGAGGAAGGAGCGCAGCGGAGGCACCAAGGAGGAGGGGGUCGCCUCGCUCGCUUCUGCUGACGCCGCCGCCCCGACGGCCCAACCACCGUCGAUGCCGCGGCGGACGCAGAGAGUCCCAAGCCGCGGGACACCGGGCGCGGCCACCCCCGCCACCGCUGGGACAUGAAGAGCAGGACCGCAUGAACCGGCGAGGACUCCGAGGAGAGCGUCCGCCCCGAACCAGACCCCCGCCCCCAGGUCGAGGUGGAGUUCAUGCCGGAGAAGCCCGACCUCGAUGCUGACGACCCCCUCCUCCUCGGCGCCUUCGCGGCCUCCCCCGCCUCGCCGCCCCUUAGAGAAGGAAGAAAGCAGCAUGGGAAAGGCUACAUUGGUAAUGUUAGUGAUGUCUCGUCAUCCUUUAGGUCCCCCUCGCUACUUCCACCGGUGACCUUUGGAGGACGGGAACGUGGCUCUCGUUGGUGGGAGGAAGCAGCGAUGCAGCGGGGUCGAACAGGCAGAGGGUGUGCCAGCAGGUCCUUGGGCAUGAACGCAGCACCGUCAGACGUUACCAAGCACAUCACAUGUGCCAUAGAGAAGUUCUUGUUCUUUUUCUAUCUGAAAUUUGAAAAAGGCAAUAUAAAUCUUCCUCCACUGAAUGGUUGUAUUAUGCCCUCAGUAUUAAUGAGUCCUGGUUUACAAAGUAAGCAAUCACCCUAAGUUUUUUUCAUUCCUUUGGUAGUUGUGGAUGCAAUACAGUAGCUCAGGGAAAAAAGCCACUCCAUUAGUCCAGGCAAAAAAAUGCAAUCAAUUAGAGCUGGCACACCAUUCAUAUUUGUAGGUUUUAUAUCAUAGUGUUUCUGUAAAUUGUCAAUAAAUUAAAUUCAAUUCAAUACAUGACAUAAUUUUGAUUUCCAGUUGAUUUGCGUUCAAAAUUUUAACUCAAGCACCAUUGUACUAUUUGCAAUAAUAUAUUAGGAUUAGUAAAAUAUCAGGUAAAUAUAUAGUUGAUACCAUCGUUCUUUCAACCCCCUUACCAAAAUUAAGUUUUAGCUCCAAAGCAAGCAGUUGAAUUAGUACUUAUAAUGAAGGUACAAAUGGUUAGCUAAAAUUGAUAGAAACGAUUUGUUUAUGUGUUACACUUCAAACAUGCAUCUGAUCUUGUUCUAUAGUUUACAGGAAAAUGAAGAAGCUAUCAUUUGAACUUUAGUAUGGCAAUGAGAUAGUCGUGUUUGCUCUCUCCAACCUGGCUUAUUUAUUUUAUUUUUAUCUGUUGUAUUACACAAUUAAACAAUUAUAUAAACCAUCUGCUAAGGUAUUCGUUCACAUUUGAAACAUGUAAUUUUACAUUUUAGAAAUUACUAGCACAUAUGCCCGUGCGUUGCAACGGGAGAAAAAAAUUACCGUAUUUUCAUCGCACACCUAUGGCCGAAGGCGCUCCCACACAUGCCUUGCUGCCCUGCCCCCUACCGCUAUGUUAUUGCUACCCCUGGUCAUCCCUUUCAACCACCCAAGUAUCAUAUUUCUUCGGUGAGACUGUACCCACUGCCUCACACCUAAACUGCCAUCCAACUCCCCUCCAUCGAAGACGUUGCUGAGAUCCGUUCGUCCCCUCCUAAGACUCAUUCUUGUUGAGGGCCUCACCAACACCCUUGGACUUCGCUAUGCUCGCCUCAACCCCACUUUCUUCGGCCCUAGAGCCAACUCGCAAAAUCAACUGGCGCAACACGCAUUUUCAGGUUCCUUAUGUGUAGCAAAACUGGAAAAUAUCAUAUUCCCUAAGAUAAUAAGCAUGGAUCAAGACCCACCCUCACACACAUGUCCACGUCCUCUAUUUCAGUCAACACAAAAUACUCAGAUUAUUGAACCACAGUCUCUUGCUUGUUGUAUUUGCCAGCAAUGCAAACAAAUCCUAUGAGCAUGUUUGUUUAAUUAUGCAUGU